UUAAUUAAUAAAAUAGAAACCUUCUAUCUCUUUCACAACAACUCAGAACCAUUCCUAUCAAACCCUUUGCACCUUCAACCCCCAAAAUCUGAUCGAACCCUACUGAAACUUCAGAACCAAAGUAACAAAGAAAAAAGGGCAAUGGAGUUACAGAACUCAUACCCACACAACACUCUCUUGGUGUAGAUCAGAGUCUCUCUUUCCUCUCUUCUCGGAUUUUGAUCUCUGAUUUCGAUCCCUGAAUCCCCCAAUUCCGGCAAAUCGAUUCAUCAAAUCCUUCUCUUGCAAUUCGAUCUGAUUCAACUUUCCCGGCGAACACACUCAAUCAUCGAUUGUGAAUCCUUUCUCUACAGGAAUGUUAUUGAGGAGUUGGAGUAAUUAGGCACAAUGCAAAGUUCAUAUGAUAUUGAGCAAGCAUUAUUUAGAAGUGCAUGGUAUGGAGGAAGAUGUCUAGCGAGUGGAAGUGCACUUAAGAUAGUUUUUUCUUCAUCAGAUAAAUAAUGAUGGUAUCGAUUAAUAAUUUCAAGAUUUGGAAGCACAAGACGAUGAGUUAGAUGUUUGAUGGUUACGAUUUUUUUACAGAUGUUAUUUUGAUUGUGGUCAAUAAUGAUUGGCCUUAUGUCUUUUUUUUUUUUUUUUAGGGAGUUUGCCUUAUGUCUCACUAUGUACCUUUAAGACUUGAGUACUUAUUUUGACAAAUAUUUGAAGGUUAAUAAUAACAAUUAACACAGUUUCUAAUUUUA